GUAAUAAACUCCAAAAUUAUCCAGUUAUAAAUGUGUUAACAUGUUAAAGAAAUGUUAGUCACAGUGAAAAACCUUUUCAAAGUCCACUGUGAGAUUUUCUGAUUUUUUGCAGCUGUAACCAAUAUUACAGUCCAGCUCUGAGAAUUGUGCUGUUUGUUAACAGAAACUGAAAAUGUACAAAAGAGAAGCCAUGUUGUUUACUGUGUUGUCGGUGUUAUUGUUCCUGAUAAAUCCCGUCCACCUGACGCCAAUACCAACUAAAAAGUGCAGUCUCUUAGGAGAAAAAUGCGCUAAAUCUCCUACCUGUUCCAGUUUGUGGUAUAAGUGUAAAUGUUCACCCUUGGAUACAACCAAUCGCGAAGAGUUUUGUUUGACGUCCUGGGCGGUUUUAAAUCAAGUGCCUACUUGCUGUUAGCUUUAACAAAGACAGCAAUCCAAAGAACUGACAAUAUGGCUUCCAAAAUUUUCUCUCAAGUAUCAUUAUACAAUGAUUUCAGAGACAUCUUUUUUUCUGACCCUCUUAACGAAGUGGGUAGAAUAGCUUCAAGUUUUUAUUUCCUACUGUCUUAGCAACAAUACGAUAUUGUAGUUGAUUCUAGUAAAAAUAAAAACAAAAUUGUUAGUGGUU